rnacentral:rRNA from 1 species
UGCCAGCAGCCGCGGUAAUACAGAGGGUGCGAACGUUGCUCGGAAUUACUGGGCGUAAAGCGCGUGUAGGCUGACUAGCAAGUCAGGUGUGAAAUCCCUGGGCUCAACCCAGGAACUGCAUCUGAAACUGCUGGUCUUGAGUGGUGGAGAGGAAUGGCGGAAUUCCCGGUGUAGAGGUGAAAUUCGUAGAUAUCGGGAGGAACACCAGUGGCGAAGGCGGCCUUCUGGACACCUACUGACGCUGAGACGCGAAAGCGUGGGGAGCAAACAGGAUUAGAUA